GGAUAGGCUGAACAUUGGCGAGUUCCGCAGACUGUAAAUCUGUCGCGAAAGCUGUGGUGGUUCGACUCCAUCUCUAUCCACCA
rnacentral:tRNA from 1 species